GGGAGCCAGGAGAAGGAGAACCAGAGUUCCUGGAGUCAUGGGAGGAACGGAGCAGAGGGUUUCUCUGUCCUCCUUCUGGCUCCUCAUGAGUCGCACUGAAACCCGCCGUGUGCUGCUCUGUGUGUGUGUGUGUGUGUGUGUGUGUGUGUGUGUGUGUGUGUGUGUGUGUGUGUGUGUGUGUGUGUGUGUGUGUGUGUGUGUGUGUGUGUGUGUGUGUGUGUGUGUGUGUGCAUGCGUGUGUGUUAGGGUGUGUUGUCUCUUCUUGUGUGAUACUCCUUCCGCCAAACCCCCAUCCUUGUUGCCAUGUGAUGCAAUAAUAGCAGUAAACUUUUAGAGAAGUAGCCCAAUCAUGAGAGCUUGGGAACUCCGCGUGAAUAAGUGGCCUUGUUAUCAGUAUAUCUGAGUCCCUGUACAGGGUGUGUGUGUGUGUGUGUGUGUGUGUGUGUGUGUGUGUGUGUGUGUGUGUGUGUGUGUGUGUGUGUGUGUGUGUGUGUGUGUGUGUGUGUGCUAUGUUCUAGAAUGUUAGCCUUCAUGAUUCCAUUUUGUUGAGUUCUUAGAAGGUUUUGCUUCUUUAUUUUUGUAGUUCAUUUUGCCUGCUGCCCACCUCCUAGUUAGCUCUCCUCUGACGAAACACACCCACACACAGACUUUGUUCACGCACACACACACACACACACAUACAUACACACAUACCCGCCCUCUGCUUGAACACACACAAAAGGAGCACAUACUUUCACACACACAAACACAGUCACACAUUCAGGUACCUGCACACACACAUAGCCGCCCUUUGCCUGCACACUCACACAGAAAUUCAUGCUCCCACUCCGCCUGCACACACACAGGCACACACACAUACACACACAUGCAGAAUAGAAAUGUACAGGCCCUAGUUUCCCUGAUGCUCAGACUACAGCCUACACAGACACAGGGUCAGGGUUAACCUAACCCUGACCCUGACCCCAACCCUGACUCCGACCCCGACCCUGACCCCGACCCCGACCCUGACCCUGACACUAACCCUGACCCCAACCACACACACCCAGACGUGUGGAGCCAAGCAGCAGGCCGUUAACACAUGUCAUGAUUCAGACUAAUGCCUGGCUUUAGUGUUUGUCCGUAUAAGGUUGGUUUCAAUGGUUGAAACUGUUGCCAUGUACAUUAUUAUAACUCAUUAAUGGAUAUUCUAUUUAAAAACAAACAAAAAGGUGUUCCGUUGAUGGAUCUGUUUAUACUCAGCGCAUCGGUUUACGAUGUGGAAACACUGUGAUUAUUAUUGUUGUUGUUUAUUAUUAGUAAAUGUUGUUGGACAACGUUACGUUUUAGGUGAAAUAAUAAAAAAAGUUAAAUACAGAGAUUGGCUUUGAGUCCGUUUACUCUCGUUUCAGUGCAUCCCGUGUACGAACAGUGACUUAAGUAUAACACUCCUGAAACACUUAAAACAGAAUUAGGGACUGAGGACAGAAACUGAUAAAGAAGGCCUGACUGUUAACAACCUCGCGUAUUGAAAUGAAAGUUCAUGGACUCCAAAGCCUGACAGAAAAAACAACUGCAGGAUAUUUCGAUUUAAAAUGACAUAAAAAGCUAGCUAUUUUUUCUCCUUCAAACAGUACCUAUCUCUACCAGACACUUUAACAGCCCUCCCCGCGUUAGAUCAAUGUGAAUGUAUAAACCAACGGUGUCCAUUUUAUGUACUUGAAAAGCUUAUAUUUCUUCUUUUCCUUGCCCUCCAAUUCCCCCUAAACCCUCAGUUCCUUGGGCAUCGACCCGCCAGAGAAACCCACCAGGGCCUUGCAUUCUUUCAAUUGCUUUUUGGUUUAUUUUUGUAUUAUAAUGAUUGCUUGUAUUAGUGGAUGUGGAUUGUAUGCUGUGGUUUCAAGUAAGCACAAUCUUGGUUGUGUGUGUGUGUGUGUGUGUGUGCCAAUGGGUUUAUGUGUGUUUGCUGUAGACUUCAGCACUGCUCCUGGGUUAAGCACUACUGCUGCAUCAAUUGAAAUAGAAAUGCAAUAUUCCCCAAAACACAGACAACGCUGCGAAUGAAAUAGCAAAAGCAAAGUGUGCGCGAGCCAUUAAGGACUAUUCAGACCCAUGUAACCAUGGAGACUGAAGUGGUUGCCAUGGCUAUGAUCAAUAUUGUAAGUUUUGACGUAGUUCAGUUCAAUUCCAGACCGUUCAACUUUAAUAAAAGAAAAACCCUAAAUUAAAGCAGAAAUUAUGCUUUAACAGGAAACAGGAACCGCUAAUAGCUAUCCCAGAGGUCAAUAGAAGCCCACUGACAUAACACAACUCUGCCCUGACACAAAGGAGCCAAUCCUGAGAGCAAAGCCUCCUGGAGCUUCACCGUCGACCACGGUUCACAGCUAUCUCUGAAGGAACGCUCCUUCACCGGUGUUGCGCUUUUAUGUGAAAUGUCCCAUCCUGCAGAAAGUGUUUCUUACCAAAGUUUGAGGCCUAAGCCUCAACAGAGAAGUUCGAGAGGUACCAAAGUUUGUCUUUAGUUUUCUUCCACCAUGGUUCGGUCACACAGAUUUGCAGCAGACUAAAUCCAUGCUGGCUUCAGCUAAAACAGGCGCAGAUCCAUCAACAGAUGAGUUGAUGGCCUACUCAGGGUCCCUGGUCCCUACUCACAGCUUCACACACCUCCAACAACAAGGGAGCAGAGAAGGAGAGGCAGUGGGUUGGUGAUGAAGAGGAGGAAUGUGGUGGCAGAUGUGAUAAAGGUGAUGGUGGUGGUGAUGAAGACGAUGGUGUUGCUGACUGUAUUGGACGUGGUGAUGAAGGAGAUGAUUGGUGGUAGAUUUGAUGACAGUGACGGUGAUGACUGGUGGUCAUUGGGAUGAGGAUGAUGGUGGUGACGAUUUGAGUGGUGAUGAAGAUGAUGGUGGUGACGACUUGUCUAAGUGGUGAUGAAGAUGAUGAUGUGGAUGACUUGUCUAAGUGGUGAUGAAGAUGACGGUGUGGAUGACUUGUCUUAGUGGUGAUGAAGAUGAUGGUGUGAAUGACUUGUCUAAGUGGUGAUGAAGAUGAUGGUGUGGAUGACUUGUGUUGUUGGUGAUGAAGAUGAUGGUGUGGAUGCCUUGUCUAAGUAGUGAUGAAGAUGAUGGUGUGGAUGACUUGUGUUGUUGGUGAUGAAGAUGAUGGUGUGGAUGCCUUGUCUAAGUAGUGAUGAAGAUGAUGGUGUGGAUGACUUGUGUUAUUGUUGAUGAAGAUGAUGGUGUGGAUGCCUUGUCUAAGUAGUGAUGAAGAUGAUGGUGUGGAUGACUUGUCUAAGUAGUGAUGAAGAUGAUGGUGUGGAUGACUUGUCUAAGUAGUGAUGAAGAUGAUGGUGUGGAUGACUUGUGUUAUUGGUGAUGAAGAUGAUGGUGUGGAUGCCUUGUCUAAGUAGUGAUGAAGAUGAUGGUGUGGAUGACUUGUGUUAUUGGUGAUGAAGAUGAUGGUCUGGAUGCCUUGUCUAAGUAGUGAUGAAGAUGAUGGUGUGGAUGCCUUGUCUAAGUAGUGAUGAAGAUGAUGGUGUGGAUGACUUGUGUUAUUGUUGAUGAAGAUGAUGGUGUGGAUGCCUUGUCUAAGUAGUGAUGAAGAUGAUGGUGUGGAUGACUUGUCUAAGUAGUGAUGAAGAUGAUGGUGUGGAUGACUUGUCUAAGUAGUGAUGAAGAUGAUGGUGUGGAUGACUUGUGUUAUUGGUGAUGAAGAUGAUGGUGUGGAUGCCUUGUCUAAGUAGUGAUGAAGAUGAUGGUGUGGAUGACUUGUGUUAUUGGUGAUGAAGAUGAUGGUCUGGAUGCCUUGUCUAAGUAGUGAUGAAGAUGAUGGUGUGGAUGACUUGUCUAAGUAGUGAUGAAGAUGAUGGUGUGGAUGACUUGUGUUAUUGGUGAUGAAGAUGAUGGUGGUGACGACUGGUGGUAAUUAUUAAAUUUUAAAAAAUAUUACACAAAAUAAUACUCAAACCUUGUCCCUGCUGGCUAUUUUUAUCUAUAAUCGAUAUUAUAUAUAUGAUUAAAAUGAGCUUUUCUUUUCCCUCUUUUUGUGACAGGUUGUUGUUUAGUAAGCCAAGCCAAGCAGCAUUGAUACCCUCGGCCCGUUUGAUUGGAACUGUGAAUGACAUAUACUUUACAGAUAUUUACAGAAAUGUGUUAGCUGUUUGUUGGUCCGUUUUUCGAGGACUAUUAUUGUGAAGGUCGGUUCUUGACUGGUUUUAGGCCUAUUCCCUUAACGCUUUUAAUGUAGAAGGACCGUGUCAAGUGCCCUCAUGUGAACAUAACUUUUAGUGCACUUGUAACGACCCACACGCACGGAUAGGAUAUGCUUACACAAAUGCGUGCACCCAAAAACACACACACGAACACACACACACACACGAACACACACACACACAAAACCUAAAUACAAACAUGUAACGCAAUGACUUUCUUUGAUGUAGCUUUCUCUCCGUGCAAUGAUUUAGAAUCUGAAGCAUAUGUUGGCAAAAAAGAAAAUUUAGUUUUAAUUUACCAAUGUAUGCUUUCAUACUAAUCAUCAUGAGAAUAUUUUAUUUUUUUCCUGGGCCUGUUCUCUCGUUUUGUGUUUGACGUUGUACGGACAAUAUGGUUUGAUUUGAAUGAAACAUAGUCGGCCUAUAUGUGUGGUGGUGGCGUCAGGGGUCGAAGGUCAUGUUUUGGGGUCUUCGGCAGCCUUUUAAAAACUGUAUGUUUUGCACUGAGUGUUCAAGCUUCAUGACGAAAUAAGAUGCUGCGCUUUGCGCUCCAAAUUUGUUACUUCAUUUGUAAAAACUUAAUAAACAAAACUGGGUAAACUGAAAAAUCUG
ensembl:lncRNA